UGGGGAAUAUUGGACAAUGGGCGCAAGCCUGAUCCAGCCAUACCGCGUGGGUGAAGAAGGCCUUCGGGUUGUAAAGCCCUUUUGUUGGGAAAGAAAUCCUAUCGAUUAAUACUCGGUGGGGAUGACGGUACCCAAAGAAUAAGCACCGGCUAACUUCGUGCCAGCAGCCGCGGUAAUACGAAGGGUGCAAGCGUUACUCGGAAUUACUGGGCGUAAAGCGUGCGUAGGUGGUGGUUUAAGUCUGUCGUGAAAGCCCUGGGCUCAACCUGGGAAUUGCGAUGGAUACUGGAUCACUAGAGUGUGGUAGAGGGAUGCGGAAUUUCCGGUGUAGCAGUGAAAUGCGUAGAGAUCGGAAGGAACAUCUGUGGCGAAGGCGGCAUCCUGGGCCAACACUGACACUGAGGCACGAAAGCGUGGGGAGCAAACA
rnacentral:rRNA from 1 species